GAUGAACGCUGGCGGCGUGCCUAAUACAUGCAAGUCGAGCGAACAGACGAGGAGCUUGCUCCUCUGACGUUAGCGGCGGACGGGUGAGUAACACGUGGAUAACUUACCUAUAAGACUGGGAUAACUUCGGGAAACCGGAGCUAAUACCGGAUAAUAUAUUGAACCGCAUGGUUCAAUAGUGAAAGACGGUUUUGCUGUCACUUAUAGAUGGAUCCGCGCCGCAUUAGCUAGUUGGUAAGGUAACGGCUUACCAAGGCAACGAUGCGUAGCCGACCUGAGAGGGUGAUAGGCCACACUGGAACUGAGACACGGUCCAGACUCCUACGGGAGGCAGCAGUAGGGAAUCUUCCGCAAUGGGCGAAAGCCUGACGGAGCAACGCCGCGUGAGUGAUGAAGGUCUUCGGAUCGUAAAACUCUGUUAUUAGGGAAGAACAAAUGUGUAAGUAACUAUGCACGUCUUGACGGUACCUAAUCAGAAAGCCACGGCUAACUACGUG
rnacentral:rRNA from 1 species